rnacentral:rRNA from 1 species
UGAGGAAUAUUGGACAAUGGAGGCAACUCUGAUCCAGCCAUGCCGCGUGCAGGAAGAAUGCCCUAUGGGUUGUAAACUGCUUUUAUUUAGGAAGAAUCGCAAGUACGUGUACUUGUUUGACGGUACUAAACGAAUAAGGACCGGCUAACUCCGUGCCAGCAGCCGCGGUAAUACGGAGGGUCCAAGCGUUAUCCGGAAUCAUUGGGUUUAAAGGGUCCGCAGGCGGAUUAUUAAGUCAGUGGUGAAAUCUCUUAGCUUAACUAAGAAAUUGCCAUUGAAACUACUAGUCUUGAAUUCGGUCGAAGUGGGCGGAAUGUGUCAUGUAGCGGUGAAAUGCAUAGAUAUGACACAGAACACCGAUAGCGAAGGCAGCUCACUAGGCCUGAAUUGACGCUCAGGGACGAAAGCGUGGGGAGCGAACA